rnacentral:rRNA from 1 species
GGAAUAUUGGACAAUGGGCGCAAGCCUGAUCCAGCCAUGCCGCGUGAGUGAUGAAGGCCCUCGGGUUGUAAAGCUCUUUCAGUGGGGAAGAUAAUGACGGUACCCACAGAAGAAGCCCCGGCUAACUUCGUGCCAGCAGCCGCGGUAAUACGAAGGGGGCUAGCGUUGUUCGGAAUUACUGGGCGUAAAGCGCACGUAGGCGGAUUGUUUAGUGAGGGGUGAAAUCCCAGGGCUCAACCCUGGAACUGCCUCUCAUACUGGCAAUCUCGAGUCCGGAAGAGGUGAGUGGAAUGCCGAGUGUAGAGGUGAAAGUCGUAGAUAUUCGGAGGAACACCAGUGGCGAAGGCGGCUCACUGGUCCGGUACUGACGCUGAGGUGCGAAAGCGUGGGGAGCAAAC